rnacentral:rRNA from 1 species
AUUGAACGCUGGCGGCAUGCCUAACACAUGCAAGUCGAACGGUAGCAGGCCUUCGGGCGCUGACGAGUGGCGGACGGGUGAGUAAUGCAUGGGAACCUGCCCCGUAGUGGGGGACAACUUAGGGAAACUUAAGCUAAUACCGCAUACGCCCUUCGGGGGAAAGCGGGGGACCUUCGGGCCUCGCGCUAUGGGAUGGGCCCAUGUUGGAUUAGCUUGUUGGCGGGGUAAAGGCCCACCAAGGCGACGAUCCAUAGCUGGCCUGAAAGGGUGGCCAGCCACACUGGGACUGAGACACGGCCCAGACUCCUACGGGAGGCAGCAGUGGGGAAUAUUGGACAAUGGGCGGAAGCCUGAUCCAGCAAUGCCGCGUGUGUGAAGAAGGCCUGAGGGUUGUAAAGCACUUUCACUGGGGAGGAAAAAAGGCCGGCCAAUACCCGGCUUGUUGACAUUACCCAGAGAAGAAGCGCCGGCUAACUCCGUGCCAGCCGCCGCCGUAACAC